AUGUGUUGUGUGAUAGUGGAGGAAAACAAACACCGAGAUAUUAACAGUUGGCUUUUGUGCAGUAUUAAAACUAAACUUCAAGCGAACGAUCUACAUCUGAAUCCUUGGUCCAGUCUCAUCAUCUCUUUCUUCGUGGUUCAAAAUCAGCAUCCUGAAGUUCCGAACGGCUUAAUUGUAAAGACAAUCCAGACAUACCCACAUGGUGUUGUACAAUCCACCGCUCACCUCGUCUGCUGCCUCCGUUUGUCUAUGUCACUGUGGCAUUUAAGUCAUUGGAAAUUACCCCAGCUGUUUGUCUGCGUCACUGUGGCAUUUAACUAG
rnacentral:rRNA from 1 species